UACGUAGGGGGCAAGCGUUGUCCGGAAUUAUUGGGCGUAAAGCGCGCGCAGGCGGUUCUUUAAGUCUGGUGUCUAAGUGCGGGGCUCAACCCCGUGAUGCACUGGAAACUGGGGAACUUGAGUGCAGAAGAGGAGAGCGGAAUUCCACGUGUAGCGGUGAAAUGCGUAGAGAUGUGGAGGAACACCAGUGGCGAAGGCGGCUCUCUGGACUGUAACUGACGGCUGAGGCGCGAAAGCGUGGGGAGCAAACAGG
rnacentral:rRNA from 1 species